CGUGGGGAAAAAUAAUGGUGUGGAAAAACGAUUGUAACCAUUUCCGAGUUUGACCACUAGGUUGUAUGGGUAUUAUAAAUCAUACUCCUAGAGCGUCUACUAAAUGACUAAAAUAAAAAUACAUGUAAAUUGAAAAAAUACAUUAAUUAGACUUGCAGGGGUAGCCUACUCGGGGAGUUUUGUGAAACACUGGCCAUAACCAACAGAGGGCAUUGUGGGAGAAUGUGUCAGCUCUGAGGGGGAGAGGGGGAUGACGACGUGUAUCUUAAUAACGGGGAGAGAAGACGGAUUGGGACUCUCAAACGACAAGAGAUUCAUUAUGAACCGUCCGACAUCAAAGUGUAUCAUGCUAAACAUCUAACGGAAAGCGAUUGAAUGUGUUUGAUUCGGUCUUCAUGGCUCGUAAGACAUCGUCAAAAUCCACUUUAUCUAAGUUGGCGCUGCUAAGGACAGUUGGCUAACUAGCUAGCAUUAUCUUUUUGCUCCAACGGAGGAAGGAAGGGGAACAGUUGACGCACUGCUCGGCUAGCGGGCUGUUAGCUAGUAACUUAGCUAACUUAGUUACGUUGUUUCUUUAUACCUGACUCACUCAGUUUGACAACUAACUUCAAAGAAAAUAAUUGUGAAUGAAUGACUUUUGUUGUUGUAUUUAGCUACUACUAGAGCUAUCAGCUAACAAACCAGCAAGAUUAUCAUAUUCAUAAACUGUUGUUUUGGGGUUUGAAGCAUUUGAUCCAGACCCUGUUGGAAAGGCAGCAGCAGAUCAGCUGUGAUGGCUACAGAUAUGAUCGAGAGUGAGGUAGUGUUGAAGGCUGCGGGUAAUAACGAUAUGAGUCUGAACAAUAGCCCAGACCUAGACACACCCAGGAUGUAUGAGAGCCUGGGAGGAGAUAUCAGAGACACUCCGAGCCCUUCGUCUUCGGCAGUGUCAGGAGGAGAAGAGGAAGAAGAUUUAGAAGACCUGCAAAACAGCAGCACAGAGCUUUCAUUGGAAAAUGGCGAAGAGGCCGCAGGAGCAGCGCUACAGAGGCCAACCCAAACAGGAGGUCCGCCGCAGGAAACGGUGACUCCAGACAAUGGAGAAAAACAGGAGGAAGGGGUGGAGGUGGUGCCAUGCUCCACUCCCGUCAGAAUGCCCCAGACAUACUCGACCUCUGGACAUAAUGGAAGUCUGCAGCGCCAGGAGUCUGGCGACCACCGAGGCUCGUCCCGCAUGGAGGGGUGGAACAAAGAGGAGUGGCAGGACGAGGACUUCCCCAGGUACACCACGCGUCUUCCGACAACCAGGCAUACCUACAACCUGACUUAGCUGGGUGUAAUAAGAGG
rnacentral:lncRNA from 1 species